UAAGACAGAGGGGGCGAGCGUUGUCCGGAGUCACUGGGCGUAAAGCGCGCGCAGGCGGUGGCNUAAGUGUCGUGUGAAAGCCCCCGGCUCAACCGGGGGAGGCCAUGGCAGACUGGGCGACUGGAGCUGCGGAGAGGCCCCUCGAAUUGCCGGUGUAGCGGUGAAAUGCGUAGAGAUCGGCAGGAAGACCAAGGGGGAAGCCAGGGGGCUGGCCGCGAGCUGACGCUGAGGCGCGACAGCGUGGGGAGCCAACCGGAUUAGAUACCCGGGUAGUCCACGCCCUAAACCAUGAGUACUAGGUGUUGGAGGUAUCGACCCCUUCAGUGCCGAAGCCAACGCGAUAAGUACUCCGCCUGGGGACUACGGCCGCAAGGCUA
rnacentral:rRNA from 1 species